rnacentral:rRNA from 1 species
AUGGCGCAGCUGAUCAGCCAUGCCGCGUGUGUGAGAGGUCUUCAGUGAGUUGUAAGCACUUUAAGUUGGGAGGAGGGUACUGACACUAAUACUCUUGUGUUUUGAACUUUACUCCAGAAUUAACAACCGCUAACUUCGGGGCCACCACCCCCGUAAUAC